CCUACGGGAGGCAGCAGUGAGGAAUAUUGGUCAAUGGACGGAAGUCUGAACCAGCCAUGCCGCGUGCAGGAAGACGGCUCUAUGAGUUGUAAACUGCUUUUGUACAAGGGUAAACCUGAAUACGUGUAUUCAGCUGAAAGUACUGUACGAAUAAGGAUCGGCUAACUCCGUGCCAGCAGCCGCGGUAAUACGGAGGAUCCAAGCGUUAUCCGGAUUUAUUGGGUUUAAAGGGUGCGUAGGCGGAUUGAUAAGUUAGAGGUGAAAUGUCCGAGCUUAACUCGGGAACUGCCUCUAAUACUGUUGGUCUAGAGAGUAGAUGCGGUAGGCGGAAUGUAUGGUGUAGCGGUGAAAUGCUUAGAGAUCAGACAGAACACCGAUUGCGAAGGCAGCUUACCAAUCUAUAUCUGACGUUGAGGCACGAAAGCGUGGGGAGCAAACAGGAUUAGAUACCCGAGUAGUC
rnacentral:rRNA from 1 species